UACGGGGGGAGCAAGCGUUGUUCGGAUUUACUGGGCGUAAAGGGCGCGUAGGCGGCCACUGCAAGUCAGUUGUGAAAUCUCCGGGCUUAACCCGGAAAGGUCAACUGAUACUGCAGGGCUAGAGUGCAGAAGGGGCAACUGGAAUUCUCGGUGUAGCGGUGAAAUGCGUAGAUAUCGGGAGGAACACCGGUGGCGAAGGCGGCGAUCUGGGUCGAUACUGACGCUGAGGUGCGAAAGCGUGGGGAGCAAACAGG
rnacentral:rRNA from 1 species